GGAUUAGAUACCCUGGUAGUCCACGCCGUAAACGAUGUGUGCUAGUUGUCGGGACCUUACGGUUUCGGUGACGCAGCUAACGCAAUAAGCACACCGCCUGGGGAGUACGGCCGCAAGGUUAAAACUCAAAGGAAUUGACGGGGACCCGCACAAGCGGUGGAGCAUGUUGUUUAAUUCGAAGCAACGCGAAGAACCUUACCUACACUUGACAUCCUGGUCGCGGGGCCUAGAGAUAGGCCUCUUCAGCUCGGCUGGACCAGUGACAGGUGCUGCAUGGCUGUCGUCAGCUCGUGUCG
rnacentral:rRNA from 1 species